UACGGGGGGGGCAAGCGUUGUUCGGAAUUACUGGGCGUAAAGGGCUCGUAGGCGGCCAACUAAGUCAGACGUGAAAUCCCUCGGCUUAACCGGGGAACUGCGUCUGAUACUGGAUGGCUUGAAUCCGGGAGAGGGAUGCGGAAUUCCAGGUGUAGCGGUGAAAUGCGUAGAUAUCUGGAGGAACACCGGUGGCGAAGGCGGCGCUCUGGACCGAGACUGACGCUGAGGCGCGAAAGCGUGGGGAGCAAACAGG
rnacentral:rRNA from 1 species